UCAUGUUAAUAAUAAAUAUUUAUAAUAUUGCAGUCUGCUGCAGCACCUCAUCCGCGGAUGAGUACGUUCCGUAUACUUUAGUAUAGUGUUGUUCGUGUCUACAUUUAUUAUUUAUUAUUAUUAUUAAGUGUUUAACGUUGUCGUGUAUUUUUUCAAAUGAUUUUUGUCGAUGUUUUUUUCGCUUAAUUUUUGCGUUUGUGAUUACAAAAUACAUUUCUUCGUCGUUCGAAGUACUUAAGCAAUUCACUACAUUAUAAUAUACUGUGGUUUUAGCAAAAACAAAACUAUAUUUAUUAUUUAUAAGUUUUAAGUUUAACUCAACGUUUCUUAAGACGAAUAUUUCUUUGAAGAUAAUAAUAUUAUUAUUAUUGAAUAUUUAAACAGCAGUUUAUUACUUAAGACUUAAGUUAAAGCUUGCUUUAUCAACUACUCUGCAUACCGUGACCGGUAAGUGAUGCGCGAGACUGAAACGUUCGGGGUGUUACGGGGUUUCCCCACUCCCCCUUCGAACUUCAGCAGUAUUAUACAGAAAGUCCGUCGUGGCACCAACACCGCCUGCAGAACAUAGCUCCGGACAUGACAUAUCGAACCGCACAGCGGCAGAAACAGCAGCAGCAGCAGCAGCAGUACGUUAUACACUUCCUGCGUUCGCGCCAUCGGAACGGUAAUAAUAAUUAUAAUUGUUAACGUCGCCGGAGGGGUAGGGGAAAAACGGAUUCACCCCGGUCGUGCGCCAGGGCCGGAGAUCGUAAGACCGCGAAACGUCUUUUGUGUGCUCGGCGUCUGUGACGGCUGCUGGUCGUCGGCACACGUCUAACGUACAUCAGAUCAUCCGGACCGUGACACGCGGGAACGGUUGCACGCGCGUGUUCUUAUUGCUCAGACUGUACACAAAACGCGUAUUAAGAUAGUGGGCGCGUGUCCAGCCAGGUGGAUUGCCGCGCCGAGGCCAUGAAAGGGAUGCGAUCGUCUUGUGUACAUAAUAAUAUGUGUACGACGGUUAGAGCGGUUGGCGUUGUACUCGUAUAUAUAUAUAUAUAUUGUGUCAUCUCAAGCAAACCUUAUAUCCGGCGGCAAGUUUCUUCGUAAUAAUAAUAAUAAAAAUAAUGAUAAUAUAAUAAUUGGCCGCCAAUGACGAGCAAUUUAUUCGAAAUCGAGACGGCAAUCGCGCGUGCCGUUACAUUAUAUUAUUAUAUCUGUACCGGUAGGUGGUGUAGUAGUUGUGACGCGCUACAGGAAAUUAUAGUUGUAAUCGAAUAAAGUAAUUAUAAAAUAUACUAUUAACAUAAUAUUAUAGUAUUGAGCUGAUUGAUGAGCUGUGCGAGCUUUAGUUGUUGACACUUAUUGUAUAUUUUAUACUACUGCAAUUCACCGUAUUGCGGAACUGACGACAUUACCUAUACCUAUGCACGAAGAUAGUUACAAAAAGAUUGUUGAACGUACAAUAAGCAGGAAUUGAUAAAUUUUGAUAAAAAUUAAGCAGCUGCUGAUUAUACAGUGCUAUUAUGAAACACAAGAGUAAAAGAAGAAAGAAGAACUAGAAGAUGAUGAAAAUAAUACGAUAAAUUAAUAAAACUAAGAAUACAAAUUUAUAUAAUUAAACAAUUUUUUUCAAUAUUCAAAAUAAUUUUAAGAGCUUUUUUUUAAAGCAUUAAAAAUUAAGUCAUUUUUCUUGUUAUUUAGACUAUUUAAAUCCGUUCUCUAAUUAUAAUAUUCCAAAUCGUUUAGUAUACCACUUUGCAGUCUUUCUAAUUCACACUAUUUCCCAACAUGUACAAUAAAAUUUCUUGCUGCACUUGAAACUAAUUAAACAAGUUGUAAAAUAUUUCGAGUUUUAUUAUCCUUUAAAAUCAUUACCUUUUGUAAAAACUUGCUAUUCUCGAGGUUAGGUUUGAUUUCUAUUUAAUAUGUACAAAUAUGUACAUCGAAUAUAAAUGCAUUUAAUAAGCUCUUGAACGAUAAAACUGACUCUCCGACUUUUUUAGUCUUUUAUUCCAUGUAUUAUAAGACGAGACUAUCUGUUUCAUUCCAUAUUUCUGAAGUUGCUAAUCAUUUUAUGAACCUCUCCGUUGUUUUACACUACUUAUAUUUUUCUCAUAUCUAAAUCUAUCGUUAAUUAAACAAUAUUCUUGUCAUUAAUGUCUAUUAUACUAAUAACAACUUGUUAUAUUUCUUUUUACCGGAUUUAAGUGCCAGCAUUUAAAAAUGUAAUUUGUGUACUUCACAAUUGUGAUUUCUAUCUAUUAAUUUAAAUAAGUAAACAUUAUACGACGUCACAUUGACUUGUGCACUGUGCAAAGUGUAUAUAGAUAUGAACGGAUUCUAUAUGUUUUUGUUUCAAUUGAAUUAUACCGAACUGAGAUGAGUUACAUACACAGCAUGGUUACCGCAUACAGACAUACAGUACUAUAGACAGAAAUAUUGUUUGGUGAAUGGUCGU